rnacentral:rRNA from 1 species
AGGGUGUAAACGCUGCGGGCUUGGUGUUGGGGGUCCUUAGUGGGCGCCCAGUGCCGGAGAGAAGUUGUUAAGCCUGCUGCUUGGGGAGUAUGUCCGCAAGGAUGAAACUUAAAGGAAUUGGCGGGGGAGCACCACAAGAGGUGGAGGCUGCGGUUCAAUUGGACUCAACGCCGGAAACUCAUCGGGAGCGACAGCAGUAUGAUUGCCAGGUUGAUGACCUUGCUUGACAAGCUGAGAGGAGGUGCAUGGCGUAGUCGUGU